AAAAAAAAAGAUCAAAAAACAUUUUCCAACCAAAAAAACAGGAAAAACAGUUUUCAAUUUUGUAGUCAUCCAGAAUGUCCAUCUUUUGUUGUUU
rnacentral:ribozyme from 16 species